rnacentral:rRNA from 1 species
UACGAAGGGUGCUAGCGUUGUUCGGAUUUACUGGGCGUAAAGCGCGUGUAGGCGGGUCGUUAAGUUAGGGGUGAAAUCCCAAGGCUCAACCUUGGAACUGCCUCUAAAACUGGCGACCUGGAGCAGAUGAGAGGCGAGUGGAAUUCCGAGUGUAGAGGUGAAAUUCGUAGAUAUUCGGAGGAACACCAGUGGCGAAGGCGACUCGCUGGCAUCUUGCUGACGCUGAGACGCGAAAGCGUGGGGAGCAAACAGG